rnacentral:rRNA from 1 species
GACGAACGCUGGCGGCGUGCUUAACACAUGCAAGUCGAACGGAAAGGCCCUGCUUUUGUGGGGUGCUCGAGUGGCGAACGGGUGAGUAACACGUGAGUAACCUGCCCUUGACUUUGGGAUAACUUCAGGAAACUGGGGCUAAUACCGGAUAGGAGCUCCUGCUGCAUGGUGGGGGUUGGAAAGUUUCGGCGGUUGGGGAUGGAUUCGCGGCUUAUCAGCUUGUUGGUGGGGUAGUGGCUUACCAAGGCUUUGACGGGUAGCCGGCCUGAGAGGGUGACCGGCCACAUUGGGACUGAGAUACGGCCCAGACUCCUACGGGAGGCAGCAGUGGGGAAUAUUGCACAAUGGGCGGAAGCCUGAUGCAGCAACGCCGCGUGCGGGAUGACGGCCUUCGGGUUGUAAACCGCUUUCGCCUGUGACGAAGCGUGAGUGACGGUAAUGGGUAAAGAAGCACCGGCUAACUACGUA